rnacentral:rRNA from 1 species
UGGGGAAUAUUGCACAAUGGGGGAAACCCUGAUGCAGCGACGCCGCGUGAGCGAAGAAGGCUUUCGAGUCGUAAAGCUCUGUCCUAUGAGAAGAUAAUGACGGUAUCAUAGGAGGAAGCCCUGGCUAAAUACGUGCCAGCAGCCGCGGUAAUACGUAUGGGGCGAGCGUUGUCCGGAAUUAUUGGGCGUAAAGGGUACGUAGGCGGUUUUUUAAGUCAGGUGUCAAAGCGUGGAGCUUAACUCCAUUAAGCACUUGAAACUGAAAGACUUAAGUGAAGGAGAGGAAAGUGGAAUUCCUAGUGUAGCGGUGAAAUGCGUAGAUAUUAGGAGGAAUACCGGUGGCGAAGGCGACUUUCUGGACUUUUACUGACGCUCAGGUACGAAAGCGUGGGGAGCAAACAGG